UCCGCCUUGUGCGCUUGCCAACACUUCUUUAGCUUCCGAGAUGGUGUCGAGUAGCGUGGUUGGUGUAACUGCUGCAGUGUCAUUUUUAUUGGGUAUUUUUGUGGGGUAUGAAAUUAAAACAUGGAGAAUUGAGUGGCUGAAAAGAAGGCGAGAAAGGCUUGCAAGAAAGCUUGCCCAUACUCAGCAGCAAAUUGAUAACCUUUCUGAAAGAGAAAGAUAUUGAAUGCCUUCUCAGCCAAGGAGAACACCAGCAAUGCUGGAGGAGCUCAGCAGACUUCCACAGAAUUUAGUGACAUUGCAUACCUGAGUACCCGGAUUAAAUGGGUGCCCAGAAGUGACUGGCAUGGAUAGCCUUGCAUUUGUCAUUUUGUCACACUACUUAAAUGCAAGAAUGGGGCUGGAAGAGGUGCAGAGUUGCAUCUUCACAUAGAAAAGCAGCUGGGAGGCAUCGCAUUCUGUGCCUUCUGGCUGUCAACGGUUCGCCGCUGCAGUCCUGCGCCGGCCAUGUGUCUGUCGGUUGGGCUGUUCCUGCCAGACAUAGUGGAAGAGCCUGCGAAUGCGUCUGUCACCUGACAAUGUGUGUUGCUGAGUGACCAUGUUCAGCGGGGUGAACUGGAUAUGAUCGUCCGAAGAAGACUAAAAUAUUGAUGUGCACGUGUGAUAAGCGUUCCAGUUGGAUGUUAGUGAUUUCACAUUACAGACAACAGAAAUGAGCUGUGACUUGAAGUGCAACGCAAAAAAUCCGGCUGUAGGCCGCAACCAAUGUUUCCAUCUGUCCUGAGUUUCAACCAUUAUUUUACCUAGACUCCGGUCUGGUCAAGGGAUGCCGAAUGAAUGCAUGUUGUUUGUUGUAAUAUGCGCAAUACAUUUUGGGAGUGACAUUUGAA